rnacentral:rRNA from 1 species
AGAGUUUGAUCCGGGCUCAGGAUGAACGCUAGCGGCAGGCCUAAUACAUGCAAGUCGGACGGGAUUGAGAAGCUUGCUUUUCAUGAGAGUGGCGCACGGGUGCGUAACACGUAUGUAACCUACCAUUGUCAGGGGGAUAGCCUCUCGAAAGAGAGAUUAACACCGCAUAACACUGAGAUCUGGCAUCAGAUUUCAAUCAAAUAUUUAUAGGACAAUGAUGGGCAUGCGGGACAUUAGCUAGAUGGUGAGGUAACGGCUCACCAUGGCGACGAUGUCUAGGGGAUCUGAGAGGAUGACCCCCCACACUGGUACUGAGACACGGACCAGACUCCUACGGGAGGCAGCAGUAAGGAAUAUUGGUCAAUGGAGGCAACUCUGAACCAGCCAUGCCGCGUGCAGGAAGACGGCCCUACGGGUUGUAAACUGCUUUUGUACCGGAAUAAACCUAGAUACGUGUAUCUAGCUGAAUGUACGGUAAGAAUAAGGAUCGGCUAACUCCGUGCCAGCAGCCGCGGUAAUACGGAGGAUCCAAGCGUUAUCCGGAUUUAUUGGGUUUAAAGGGUGCGUAGGCGGCUUGUUAAGUCAGGGGUGAAAGGCGGUAGCUUAACUAUCGGAGUGCCCUUGAUACUGACGAGCUUGAAUGCAGCUGAGGUAGGCGGAAUGUGACAAGUAGCGGUGAAAUGCAUAGAUAUGUCACAGAACACCGAUUGCGAAGGCAGCUUACUAAAGUGCGAUUGACGCUGAGGCACGAAAGCGUGGGGAUCAAACAGGAUUAGAUACCCUGGUAGUCCACGCCCUAAACGAUGAAUACUCGAUGUUGGCGAUAUACGGUCAGCGUCUAAGCGAAAGCGUUAAGUAUUCCACCUGGGGAGUACGCCCGCAAGGGUGAAACUCAAAGGAAUUGACGGGGGCCCGCACAAGCGGAGGAGCAUGUGGUUUAAUUCGAUGAUACGCGAGGAACCUUACCCGGGCUUGAAAGUUAGUGAAUGAUACAGAGAC